UACGUAGGGGGCAAGCGUUGUCCGGAUUUAUUGGGCGUAAAGCGCUCGCAGGCGGCCCGAUGCGUCGUGCGUGAAACACCCCGGCUCAACUGGGAGAGGUCCUUGGAUACUGGCAGACUUGAGGGAGGUAGAGGAGAGUGGAAUUCCCGGUGUAGUGGUGAUAUGCGUAGAUAUCGGGAGGAACACCGGUGGCGAAGGCGGCAUCCUGGACCGGUAUUGACGCUGAGGCGCGAAAGCUAGGGGAGCAAACGGG
rnacentral:rRNA from 1 species